rnacentral:rRNA from 1 species
CGCGUAGGUGGUUCGAUGAGUCGGAGGUGAAAUCCCUCGGCUUAACCGAGGACCCGCGUCCGAUACUGUCGAACUUGAGUGCAGGAGAGGAGAGCGGAAUUCCCAGUGUAGCGGUGAAAUGCGUAGAUAUUGGGAGGAACACCGGUGGCGAAGGCGGCUCUCUGGACUGUUACUGACACUGAGGCGCGAAAGCUAGGGGAGCAAACGGGAUUAGAUACCCCGGUAGUCCUAGCCGUAAACGAUGGGCACUAGGUGUGGGAGGUAUCGACCCCUUCCGUGCCGCAGCUAACGCAUUAAGUGCCCCGCCUGGGGAGUACGGCCGCAAGGUUGAA